rnacentral:piRNA from 1 species
UAGGGCCUGUAAUAAAAGAUGUUAUUAUGUCU